rnacentral:lncRNA from 1 species
GUGGCACUGCUUGUUGAUAGUGGAAACAACCUGUCUGCAGAUAUCUCGAGUGGUCUGCUGCUGCCUGAAAUCUAGUAGAUAAUUAUUUCCAUUUCCAGGGUUUCUUUCAAACCCCCCCCCCCCCCCUCCCGCAAUGUAUCUGACAGUUUUCCCAAGAACUUUUCUCUACCUAGCUUCAUCAAUAGGAAAGGUCAUGGUUUGGCCUUUGAUUUUUUAUUAAUUUCUCUCAUUCUUCAGAAUGGCUGAGAAGGGAAGAGUUCCUUAGUGUAUCACUUGAAGAAGCUCAGGGGUCUAAAGGUCAGACAUCCUGAGAACUCGUGUCUGUUGUGAGAAGUACAGAGAGAAGUAAGAGGAAGUCUCGUGCGCUCACUGCCUGCCUUCUUCUCAUCUAACUGGAGACACUGCCAGCAAUCACUCUGGCUUUUCCUUGGCGAGUUCCUCCGGAAUGAUAAAUACCUUCAAAAAGUUGCCAACGUGACUGCAAAGCUGGUUAUUGGCUGGCGGGAAGGAAAAGAUAUAUCAGAUGCUGGGGUGAAACACCAAGUGUGCUUAUUGAAGCAUUGUUCUUAAUCACGGAAAGCAGGCAUGGCAGGUAAUUUUUUGAAAUAUUAAAUCGUGUUUUGCUUUUCUGGGUAUAAAAAAUUAAAAGAAAAAGAAUGAGUUGAUGUUGCAUUUUAU